CUUCUGCUGAAGAUAAGAUAGAUGUAAAUCCCCGUUCAGUAGGUGAUACCGAACUGGGACAGCACUGUCUUCACUGAUGGCUGAUGGAAAGAGAGAAAUGCAUUUUGUAUGGCUUCUUUUGCUCAUCAUCAUAAACAUCAAAGAAGUACGUUUUUCCUGGCAACUGCAGAAAGUCUGACAAUUCUGUAUUCAGGACUGAAUGCAAGGGAUUCAUGAAGCACUGCACACCACAAGGCUUCCUGUAUCCUGGAGAUUUAAAAUAUGCAACAGCAUCCUGCUCCUAUUAGAUGCCCAAUAUUCAUAUCUGAAAUCACGUUUUGGCCACAAAAGAGAAAUUAAUAACCCAUCACUCACCAUUUUCUACGGGCAGAAGAAGCGGACAUUUCUACACCUUCGAGCAGGCUGGUGAGGAGACCCCUCUGCUUGCAUGCAAAAGAUGCCACUGCAAAUGCCUGCCCAGCCUGCAGUCCUGGAGGGAGAAUGACAUUCCUUGCUCAUUGCUGUGGGGCAGAAGUUUCCAUUCCUGACUCAGGAGGCACAUACGUUUCCACAAGAAGUUUCUGGGUUUGAUGAUGGCACAUAUCCAGAAGAGCCCAGGCUGCGACUCAGUGGUGAGCUGGAGCUGAUCAUCUACCUCAGGCAUCCAGGGCUGUGUUUAUGUCUUUCUUGUUCCCCAGCUUUGCUGAAAGGAGCAGGCAUUCCUCCUGUGGAUGGGUCUGGCUCCUCAUCUACUUGACCUCUUCCAGCCUUCCUUGGAAAACUCUGUCCGCUUAGCUGUGGAGAGCUUUAUAUUUCAUCUGGACUGGCAUCUGGUUUGGAGGUCUGGAACACAGUGUUUAUGCUUGUCUUGUCUUUUUUUACCGCUUCUAAGGUAUGUUGUUUUACUACCCAGGAAUCAAGUGAAGGCUUUAGUAGAGAAGAGUUUUGCUACAAAAUCCAACAAGGCAGGCAAAAAAUUCUGGAUGUGCUGCAGUCGCCGUCAUGAACUUACAUGAGAAUUUUUUUUUAUCUAGGCAGCAGAAAUGUUUGGGUUAAGCUGCCAGUGACACUCUGUCACAAGUCUCUCUGCCAACCUGUGAAUCAGACGCUUAUGAUCAAAUUGGGUCAAUUAAGCUGUUGCGUUGCCUGUUUUGGAUGGCUUGGCUGAACAGCCUUGUUUUAGCUAGAACUGUUAUUUAUGAGUUAUCACAGGAAGAUUCCAGUGUUAUGAUCACUGUUAUUAACACGAGUUUAGAGGAACAAAGGCUUUGUACUAAAAAGAAACAGUAAGGAAAAGACUUACACAGUGCCAUGUAGGCUGGGUUCCUUACAGCAGUAUACAUUUCCCUCUUAAUUAAAAUAGUUAAACUGGAGAACUAGACAUUGAUACAAUAUGUUGUUCCCAUUCUGGAAAUACAUUCACUAAGAGUUAAUAAAUAAUCUAUGAAUUCUAAUCUUUUAAAGUCAUUUCAGAGGGAUGAAGUCAUCUGCUAUAAUUGUAAAUGCAGUACCUCUACCUUCACUGCAUUCAAAUGUAAAGGUGAGAAACCAGUUAGAGGUGCUGAGUUGCUAGAGGGAGAUGCCUUGAUUUAAAUGCCACAUCAUAUUUUUAGCAAAUUGAUUCACUAGAAUAAUAUUUUCUUCUAAUAUGAGGCCUAGACUUCCACUUGCUUAUCCCAGGUUUAACUAGGCAAAGAGAUUAAUUUUCUUCUCACUAUAUCUACAGAGAUUGCCUCAAUCAAUACCAGCUGCCUAGAUAGACCAGAUUUCCCAACUACACAGCACUAGCUACCUGAUGCCAGACCUACAAGAGCAUCACACUUUCAUUUUGACAUCUGAAACAACUCUUGCUGCAGGAGUGCAUUUGAAGCUGCUUUUGAUAAAUGUAGGGGUGGUACUCUCCUUUGCUUUGCUUUUAACAGGAGCUGAGCUGACUUGCCUGGAAAAUUAAGCUUUCUGUGUCCAAUUUCAGUCCAAUUUCAGAUCCUAAAUGGAAGGUACAUGUCAGGCUGUAAAUCUUCGCAAGCAGUGCAGUGACUAGUCAUUGCUGAAUUUGGUUUUCUGCCUCCAGACCACUAGCAGACUCAGGGCAGAUCAUUGUGGGUGACUAUGUUGUCCAGCAGUUGCAGUAAGGACUGCAGCACAUUCAUUCUUAUCUCUGAUACCUGUAUUUCCAUAACCAGCUUUAAUUCUUUUGUUGACAGUCAAAUUAGGUGGCACAAUGCUGCCAGUUAGUGCAGGCAAGGAUAAGCCAUGUCAAGCUUCAGAAUCACUCAGCUCCCAUCCGUUGUUUAUUCAUGACAAAAUGUCACUGUUUGAAGUGAGUCCCCCUCAUCCGUAGUGAAUAGUGAGUUUUAAUUGUAGCCGCAUCAUCGAAGGUCUGCAGUCAAGCACUGCUAUGUUUCUUGGUGAUCACAAACCCAAGGGGAAUGUUUUUCAUGAAGCAGAGAGCCCAGGAACUUGACGGCUAAAGUCCCACCGAAAGGAAAACUCAAGCACACUUGAAAUGCUCAGAGCAAAGAUCAAACUUCCCUCGCAUCUCCUGCAGCGCAGCAGAAAUGUUACUCACUAGAGAUCCAACCCUGGCUAAACUUAGUGCUACAGAAAUUAAAGACAGGUUGCACCACUUUCCUAAGUCAUUCAAUACCCCAGCAUUUUAUGUGAAUAUCCAUGGCAGCAUUGUCCAGUGUAUACAUUAUAUAGAGAGUCAAAAAUGGUAUAUCAAUGAUAGCAUCUUUAAUAGCCAUAAAAAUAAAGGGAGGAAGACAGAGGGUGAUAAAUAAAGAGCAGCAUGUAUUGAUCCACAUGCGUCUGGUUUCUCAGAUUUCUUAUACAGUUCAUGGGAACAAAAAUCUGUCCGUUCUUCCUCAUACAAAAUAAACUACUUUUCAUUAACAGAUAGUGGAUGAUCUCACAGGUUUUAAAGAAACAUUCAAGAGGGAUUUACCAGAUAAAGGUAUGAUGAAGACUAUUAAUAUAACAAUAAAUUUUGUCAGCAUUGCCUUUUGAAACUAGGACAACUGCAAUGACAACAACAACAACAA